rnacentral:rRNA from 1 species
UACGUAGGGGGCUAGCGUUGUCCGGAUUAUUGGGCGUAAAGAGCGUGUAGGCGGUCCGGUAAGUCCGCUGUGAAAGUCGGGGGCUCAACCCUCGAAUGCCGGUGGAUACUGUCGGGCUAGAGUGCGGAAGAGGCGAGUGGAAUCCUGGUGUAGCGGUGAAAUGCGCAGAUAUCAGGAGGAACACCUAUUGCGAAGGCAGCUCGCUGGGACGUAACUGACGCUGAGACGCGAAAGCGUGGGGAGCAAACGG